CCUCAUUGGAAAGAUAGUGGAUACAGCAGAGAUUGACAAAACAUUUUAAAUAAACUAUACUUCAAUCAAAAAUUUUAAAAAGAAAAGAUAGCAGAAAGGAAGUUCCUUUAAUCAAUAACUAAAUAUAACUCUCAGGCCAAGGGUGAGGGGUGCCCGAGGCAGGGAGAGACAUCCAGGUGCAAAGUGAUAAUGAGAGAAGGCUCUGUCUGAUCCUGUUCUCCCCACACAAACAGAAGCAGGUCACUAUUUCUGAAACCCAAACUAGAAGUCAGGAAACUUGAAAACAGAAGGCUGGAGAGUCCAUCAGCAUGUGAUCUGAUGGAGGAUUAUGCCUUAUGUAAAGGAUGGGGGAUGAAAACCAUUGAGGUGCCUUAAGUUGGGAGGUGUCAGAUCUGUCAGUCAUCGGCAUAUGGGUGGUAGGAAAAUGUGAGUGGAUGAGGGAUACCCAGCUGCGCAGGACUUUUAGAGGGAUUCUUGAUCAUUUUGAGAAUGUGAUGAAAGCUCUAGACUGUCUUUCCAGAAAUUUGCACCUGCUGGAGUUCCCUGGUGGCCUAGUGGUUAAGGAUUCAGUAUUGUCACUGCUGGGAUUCAGGUUCAAUCCAACGUCCAGAAACUUUAAAAGAAAAAAGAAAAAAAUGCACAUGUUAAAAAUCACACAGACAUCUAUACAAUUUCAGGGGACCUGCUGAUGAAGAAUAUUUGACAGAAGAGAAAGGGAAGAUGUGUGGGGAAGAGGUGUGAGGAAGUGGUUAUUUGUGUAAAGGGAAGAAGAUGAGCAGAGCAGAAACGGGGCCAAAGAAAGACGACCCAAGAAGUCAAGAAGGACCAGGAGAAUGAAGUGUCAGGAAGCUGUGGGAGAAUAGAGAAGUAAAGAGGCUGGGGUCAAAAGCCACAGGAGACUUCUGCUGAGAAGAAAGAGGGGAAAAUGGAGAGGCUGAAGACACAGAGGAGAGGAGCUGGCCUGAGGUGGCUGAAGGUAUAGCAUCCCAGAAGAGAGGCUGGACUGGAAAGCAGGAGGGACACCCCACCAGCAGAAGGAGUUUUCCACUGCAGCAGCCAGAAAGGU